AUUGAACGCUGGCGGCAUGCCUUACACAUGCAAGUCGAACGGUAACGGGCCUUCGGGUGCCGACGAGUGGCGAACGGGUGCGUAAUACAUCGGAACGUGCCCGAUCGUGGGGGAUAACGAGGCGAAAGCUUUGCUAAUACCGCAUACGAUCUACGGAUUAAAGCAGGGGACCGCAAGGCCUUGCGCGGACGGAGCGGCCGAUGGCAGAUUAGGUAGUUGGUGGGAUAAAAGCUUACCAAGCCGACGAUCUGUAGCUGGUCUGAGAGGAUGAUCAGCCACACUGGGACUGAGACACGGCCCAGACUCCUACGGGAGGCAGCAGUGGGGAAUUUUGGACAAUGGGCGCAAGCCUGAUCCAGCCAUGCCGCGUGCAGGAUGAAGGCCUUCGGGUUGUAAACUGCUUUUGUAAGGAACGAAAAGCCUUCUUUUAAUACAGGAGGGUCAUGACGGUACCGUAAGAAUAAGCACCGGCUAACUACGUG
rnacentral:rRNA from 1 species